GAAAAGGCAAUGACGGAGAAAAGUACGCCACCCUUCUUUUUUUUAGGAAGAAAAUGCCCUGACUGAAAGCAUUUUUAAAAAGAACUGGCUGAAGUUCACCUCCCGAGCCGGUGCUUGGACCACAAGAGUGUAAAGGCACACCGGUUUAAACCGUUAUCUGAAUGAAGUGAACGCGUGAUUUCGUGCGCGUUAAAAAGGGUGGUACCGCGAUAUCAGAAGCCUCGUCCCUUUC
rnacentral:ncRNA from 1 species